rnacentral:rRNA from 1 species
UGAACGCUGGCGGCGUGCUUAACACAUGCAAGUCGAACGAGAAAGGGAUUGCUUGCAAUCCUGAGUAGAGUGGCGCACGGGUGAGUAACACGUAGAUAAUCUACCUUCAAGCUCGGAAUAACUAUUCGAAAGGAUAGCUAAUACCGGAUAAAGUGUCUUAACAUAAGUUGAUACAUGAAAGAUUGCCUCUUCUUGAAAGCAAUUGUUUGGAGAUGAGUCUGCGGACCAUUAGUUUGUUGGUGGGGUAAAGGCCUACCAAGACUGCGAUGGUUAGCUGGUCUGAGAGGAUGAUCAGUCACACUGGAACUGGAACACGGUCCAGACUCCUACGGGAGGCAGCAGUGAGGAAUUUUGCGCAAUGGGGGAAACCCUGACGCAGCAACGCCGCGUGAGUGAAGAAGGCCCUUGGGUCGUAAAACUCUGUCAACUGGGAAGAAAUUAUAAUCAUCCAAUAGGUGUUUAUAUUGACGGUACCAGUGGAGGAAGCGCCGGCUAACUCC